CUGCCUAUGAUUCCUUGCCCCUCCUCGACGGUACACAAAGAGUGGAGGAAACGUGGCACGCAAGCAACGACCCUUCACACAGUCAGCAGCGGUCGUUUCCUUUUCUCUCGUUCGCUCGAACUAAGCAAGUAUGUCUUUUACACUUUUUGCCAACACACGCACCGAUACUCACAAGCUGAAAGUAGACAACGACGCACUCUCAUUGGAAAGGUUCUUCGAUGGAUCAAGGUGUAGUGUCCGAGUGGAAUGUCGUGGGAACGUUCCGGAAAAGACCUGUUCCACAGGGACCCAUAGUCGACUUCACGUCAGACGUGAGUCACUGUAAUUCUCUCGACAACACAGAUGCACCCAUCCUCCUUUAUGAAGUGAAAGGCGGCGAGAACCAACAGCAGUCGCGCGUGCCACGCUACAUGGCGCGCAAGAUCGCGAUUCCGCCACCUUCUUUGCGCAAAAUGAAGGUUGUGUCGUUCGCACCGCCGCGGCCCGCCGACGCCGGGGCGCGCUGUGAUGAAGACUUGUUUUUCGUAGACUGUCCUGAGCCGCCGAGUGUUCCCUCUCACCACAGAGAUCGCGUGCACCGACAACAGCCACUGGUGAUUGGGACGAUCUUGCCCCUUCCCCUGCAAUUGGCCUUUUUGAUGCCAUCUGCUGUGUUUUUGGCAGACAUCGCGUUGCUCGUGGUGAGCCUCGCAACACACACGCCAGAAAAGGCUUUGAUAGCGGCGUGCUGCGUUUUAGUGUUGAUGCCAGAUAUUGGGGCACUUAUCUUGCUCUUUAAGCGCGGCAUUUACUCGGUCACGAUUGCCGUGCAUCUUCUUCUGUGGCCAAACGUUGUGCUGCUCUUUCUACAACCCUUUGUUUCUCUGCUACUCAUGGUGCACUUUCUUUUAACGACGGUGAUGGUGUUGUACUGCCUGCGGGUCCGCGCAAGCACCUAUAUGACGUUCUGCAGGCUGCGUUGACCACAAACACAUACUUUUGUUAUUAUCGAGAACACGAGUUGGGUACCGAAGAGCUCUCCUGCGCACACGUGCGAGAUUGCUCCAUCUCACCGCGCAACAGAAGGAGAGAGCAGCAACAACAGCUUUACAAAGGGGCCGAUACCACAUGCGUCACUCGAUCACUACUUUAUCUUCCCCCUCCUCUGCACUUCUCUUACUUUUCGCCUCAUGACAUGCCUUUCAACUUCAUUGACGUCUCUGGCGGCCCGCUCAAGUCAGCAUCUUCUCUUCUGCGCCCGUGGACGCCAUAUCUGCGACGGCGCGCAUGGGUGAAUUGUGAACGUCGCCGCCGCUUCCGAAACUGCUUUCCGCAUGUGAGACCUCCACCACCACUUUCUUUGCGACAACUCUCUCCACCCCUGCUUCGUUCUCUUUAUCGGUUUACUUGAUCUUAG
rnacentral:misc_RNA from 1 species